rfam:Roseburia sp. CAG:18 genomic scaffold, scf49
UGAUUAAAAGGUCAUAAGGUAUGAUCGAUGUAUGUCUACAUGCAAUUUGAUGGAUACCGUAAUGACCCGCACCACAAUUGAGAAAGUAGUAAUUUACUAUGCAAGCAUGUAAAUUAGCGGAUUUCGAAAUGCGGUCAGAUUAUGAAAAUGCGAAGCAUGUAUUAAUCUGAUUAAUCU